rnacentral:lncRNA from 1 species
AUGAGCCCGCUGUCACCCGGGGGAAGAGAAAGAAAGGAGGAAAGGAAGGGGGCGCCCGAUUACCCGCAGGGCCCUCCCACGUCCGCACUCCGGGCGCACAGGGCCCGAGCAUCCCGCGCCCAGGCCACCCUCUCCCCGGAGCCUCCUGCGCAGCGGGGGCGCAGCCCACACGCCUGCGGGGGACGCCGUAGGGGCGCAGAGACAAGCUCAGGGCUGAGAGCCAGGAACCACUUACCGCUGCAAAACGAACUCAGCAACAGCGCUGCCACCAAGGGCCACAUCUCCGCGCCGCCCGGGGGUCGCCGCCGCCGCAGGUGUCUGGAACAGCCGCCGCCUCCGCGGCCGUUUAAGGCAGGACCAGCAGCCUCCACAGCAGUCACAGGAAUGGGAGUGGCACAUCAUGGUGUUCAUCACCAAUAUCCAGGAAACCAGAGAAGGCUUGUCAUGAGUAAAGAAGAAAGGAAGAGAAGCCUGGGAGGAAACAUUCUACACCACUGAGAAGUCUAAGGAAGGUUCAGCAAGGCCAUCAGGAUUUCUCCAGACAAAAUCUGCUAUCAGAUUAGUCUAAGGAAGGUUCAGCAAGGCCAUUAGGAUUUCUCCAGACAAAAUCUGCUAUCAGAUUAGUCUCCCAUCUCCCAAGAAAGGAUGUGUCUGUGUAUCUGUUUCAGCUCUGCUGUGGACUGGGAGAAGUCUGUGGGAAGAGUAGCCUGGGCACAAAUGCAAAGUUGGCUUUUAGAUCCCAAUCCUGGGUCUGCAGGAAGAGAACUCGUAGUGAUUCUCAUGGCUGCCUCACUGCAGGGUCCCUCUGAAUUCUCCAGGUGACCCUCUUACACAUUAUUGCAGGAGUAUGGAGGCCCACCUCUUAGCCUAACUCUGGACAUUUUGGAGCAUCCCAAAGAGGCUUUGUCAAGACUUGACCACAGCUCAGCCUCUUAUUCUGCUCAGUUCUGCUUCCCUCUCUUCACUGCUCGUGUGACUGAACUUGGAAGCACUCCCUGAUCAAACUCUUAUGCACCCACUUACAAGUGCUGCUCCCAGCUCUCACUACCUCCUAAGAGAUGGAAUCCUCACAAGGCUAUGAGGUAGGUGCUAUCACACCCCCAUUCUAUCCAUGAGGAAAUGGAGGCACAGAGAGUGGCUCAGUGACUGUCCCAAGGUACUCAAACAGCUGGGAAGUGAAAAAUGCUUGCCUCCCAGGUCGGCAUUCUGACUCCCUGACACCCCCUCAUCUGCCACUUACUGCGUUUCUCUGUGACACAGAGAUUCCUGUUAUCAUACCCAGUAUCCUAGUCCUAAAAUAAUUUCAGAUUGCUUUCCUAAACAAAGAUGUAGAGGAACUUCCUCGAGAUUUAGCAUUGGAGAGGAUUUGUCAUUAUUGUGUAAGAAAGGUAUUGUAGGUAAAGGCAGUUCUCACCUGAAUCUUUAUUCUUUCCUAUAGCUUUAGCCCUAACCUACCCAGUUUUUCUCCAGGAACAUGAUACACCUGCCACUCCCAGUCUGCAAAAGGAAAGAAUAUAUGUAGCACAAAGGACGAAAUGAGAGAUAAAUAAGCUCCUCUUUCCUGAGACAUGAGCGAGUUCUUAUUCCCUGACCUAUUUGAGUGCAUGCAACAUUCAAAGCUUGUAUAAUGUAGCUAAAUCAGCCUAUUUAGUAUUUAUGCAAUCUGCUCUGUUUUCAACAAGCUCUUAAGAUGUGACUUUUCCAGAAAUCUUCCAAAAUCUGCAAGGUUGCAGCAGACAUCUCUCCAGGGAGACUGAAGGAAUUAUCAAGAUCAUGGCUGCAAUUUAAAGAAAAUCUUUGCACUCUGAUGAGACUCUCAUGUCAAUCAUAGGAUGACCAACUGACCUGGUUUUCCCAGGGUGGAAAACUUUGACUGGAUAUGAGACUUUCUUUGUUGAAACUGGGAGAAUUCUGGGCAAACUGGAACAGUUGGACACCGUAGAAUGGACCCUUUAUGACUCAGCCAUGUUACAUACAGGAAACAUCUGCCUCUCUAUUGUAGAUACUUUCUAUUAUUUCAAAAAAUAUUCAUAUGUUUUGAUUAAUGAUAAAAUUGCCUAUAGAAACUAUGGAA